GACGAACGCUGGCGGCGUGCUUAACACAUGCAAGUCGAACGGAAAGGCCCUGCUUUUGUGGGGUGCUCGAGUGGCGAACGGGUGAGUAACCCGUGAGCAACCUGCCCUUGACUUUGGGAUAACUUCAGGAAACUGGGGCUAAUACCGGAUAGGAGCGCCUGCUGCAUGGUGGGGGUUGGAACGUUUCGGCGGUUGGGGAUGGACUCGCGGCUUACCAGCUUGUUGGUGGGGUAGUGGCUUACCAAGGCUUUGACGGGUAGCCGGCCUGAGAGGGUGACCGGCCACAUUGGGACUGAGAUACGGCCCAGACUCCUACGGGAGGCAGCAGUGGGGAAUAUUGCACAAUGGGCGGAAGCCUGAUGCAGCAACGCCGCGUGCGGGAUGACGGCCUUCGGGUUGUAAACCGCUUUCGCCUGUGACGAAGCGUGAGUGACGGUAAUGGGUAAAGAAGCACCGGCUAACUACGUG
rnacentral:rRNA from 1 species